rnacentral:rRNA from 1 species
CAGUCGCCACGGUAAUACAGAGGAUGCAAGCGUUAUCCGGAAUGAUUGGGCGUAAAGCGUCUGUAGGUGGCUUUUCAAGUCCGCCGUCAAAUCCCAGGGCUCAACCCUGGACAGGCGGUGGAAACUACCAAGCUGGAGUACGGUAGGGGCAGAGGGAAUUUCCAGUGGAGCGGUGAAAUGCGUUGAGAUCGAAAAGAACACCAACAGCGAAAGCACUCUGCUGGGACGACACUGACACUAAGAGACGAAAGCUAGGGGAGCAAAUGGGAUUAGAUACCCCGGUAGUCCCUGUCUCUUAUCA